rnacentral:misc_RNA from 1 species
CUGAGUUACAAACUCCAAACCAUUGUGAACCUAUACCGAUGUUGCUUCGGCGUGCCGUCCCGGGCGCGGCUCAGGCCGUGACCCGGACCCAGGCGGCCGCCGGGGACCCAAACCUCUGUUUUUAUAGUGGACUUCUGAGUGGCAUAAGCAAAUAAUCA